rnacentral:rRNA from 1 species
GACGAACGCUGGCGGCGUGCUUAACACAUGCAAGUCGAACGGAAAGGCCUCUUUCGGGGGGUACUCGAGUGGCGAACGGGUGAGUAACACGUGAGUAACCUGCCCUUGACUUUUGGAUAACUUCAGGAAACUGGGGCUAAUACCGGAUAGGAGCUCCUGCUGCAUGGUGGGGGUUGGAAAGUUUCGGCGGUUGGGGAUGGACUCGCGGCUUAUCAGCUUGUUGGUGGGGUAGUGGCUUACCAAGGCUUUGACGGGUAGCCGGCCUGAGAGGGUGACCGGCCACAUUGGGACUGAGAUACGGCCCAGACUCCUACGGGAGGCAGCAGUGGGGAAUAUUGCACAAUGGGUGGAAGCCUGAUGCAGCAACGCCGUGUGCGGGAUGACGGCCUUCGGGUUGUAAACCGCUUUCGCUCAUGACGAAGCUUUGUGUGACGGUAGUGGGUAAAGAAGCACCGGCUAACUACGUG